GGAUUGGAUUGCUCAUCUUGUGCCCUGCAUGAAAGCCCUCCACCACGCUCUUGUUCUUGCUGGAAUCAAGGAUGUGAAGGUCUCGACACCUCACACCCUCGGAAUCCUUUACAAUUCUGUACCACCAAGUGCUGCUCGGAUCAGGCCUGGUUACCAGAAAUCCAUAUUUGCACCCAUGCUUGCGUUUCUACGUGAAACCAAAUCGCCUCUCAUGGUUAAUCCAUACCCUUAUUUU
rnacentral:misc_RNA from 1 species